UUUGAAUUUUAGAAAAGAUUGUUUAUGAUUACCAAAUAUUUUGGUAAAUUAUUGUUUAAGCAGGUUAGUGAUUUUUAUUGAGAUCCUUUUUUUUUCAUUUUCUUAUUUUGUUUUCAGUCACACUUUUUUCCGACUUAACUAUUCACUAGCUUAGGUCGGGACAGACAUGCACAUGUAGAGUUUGGGAAUUAAAUGGAAUUCCAUGUGUGCAUGCCAUAGCUGCCUUAACAUUCUUGAAAGUGGAUCCAGCUGUAUACAUUCA
rnacentral:lncRNA from 1 species